rnacentral:rRNA from 1 species
CAGCUAAUUAGCUAGCCUACCUAACAACCCAAUCAAAUACUUCUACUAACCCCUAAUACACUAAAAAUAUUCAACUAAACCAUUCAUCUUCCCUAGUAUAGGCGAUAGAAAAG